GUCAAACGUCGGGAUUACGCCAAAGUGUGAGGGUCUAGUGUAAAUUUGGUAAAAAAAAUUAGUUUAUCAUCACUUACAAUAAAACUUUAAAUUUUCCGAUUUGUUUGAAGGUAGCUAAUGAAGCAGUUAAUUCAACCCUAACUUUCGAAAAGAAUGAAAUUCAUCCCUAAAUAACAUGGACUGGACUGAUCAAGACGAACGCAGCUCAAGCUCAUCCCCUGGAAGCUCUUCCGAUAACGGAAACAAAAAAUGUCCCCGAAAUCUAACCAAUAUAAUGGAUUAUUCCGAAAAUGAAGUAUCACGCUACGUCCACCUUAAAAGGGAAGGAUUCAGCAAUGGCCUAUAUUUCGAAUCAGAUGAAGAAUUUUCCGACUUUUCACUCAACGAUACUGACGAGGAUGAGCAACAGAGUUGCGCAACUGAGUCCGAUCCACUUUUACGGAGAGAAUUGGGUAGCUCCAGACAUGCAAUAGUUCCUGAUUUACCACGUAAUUGUGUAGUUCGAAGAGUUUUCACCAAUAAUAGAGAACGUUGGCGUCAACAGAAUGUCGCUGGAGCUUUUGCAGAAUUGCGAAAAUUAGUCCCAACACAUCCACCCGAUAAAAAACUAUCGAAAAAUGAGAUCUUACGAAUUGCAAUCAAAUAUAUUAAGCUCUUGACCAGCUUGUUGGAAUGGCAAAAGCAGCAAGAUAGCAACCAUAAUACAGAAACCGAACUGAACAAUAACAUGAUCAACCAUAAUAGGACACAAGAAAGAGAGCUGGCUCCAAUUAGGAAAGUCGAAAACUUGUCUUUGAAACAAACGGACUACACUAUUGGAGUUGUUCGUCAACGCAAUGGGUUGAAUGAAAAUAAUGGCUUCAAUGGUGCUGGUCCCAUCCACGUUGUUCGUAAACAAAGCCAUUCACCCAACACUGUUGAAACUCCUAGUUCCAAUCCAUUUACAGAGAAUCAAAAUCUCUCAGUUAAGGAUAAAAAUUCAAAUUCUGCUCCACAUUUAAGCUUAACUCCGAUCAGUUGGAAAUUAAGCAAACCAACAAAACGUAAAUGGAAAUAUCAAAAAUCAAACGAUAGCUGCAAACGAAGAAAGGACAGUGCUUUGUACUGCUUAUGUUAAUUUAGUUGGGACAUGUUAAGUCUCAAACAAGAUCCGGUGAAAGUCGAAUUAAAUAAGUAAAUUGUUAGCAGCACCUACAGGAGAUACUUUCUUAUCAGCUUAAGGGGGACGAGAAAUUGGUGAAGACUGCAGUCCAUAAAAAAAAUUCUUCUAAAAAUUGAGAGCAUAUUUUCCUUAAAAAAAGUAACUUGGUUCUUCUUUAGUAUGAAUAUUAUCACUCCUCCCCUCGGUGACAUUACAGCUUAU